rnacentral:rRNA from 1 species
CACUAUCGUUAACUGAAUACAUAGGUUAACGAGGCGAACCGGGGGAACUGAAACAUCUAAGUACCCCGAGGAAAAGAAAUCAACCGAGAUUCCCCCAGUAGCGGCGAGCGAACGGGGAGCAGCCCAGAGUCUGAAUCAGCUUGUGUGUUAGUGGAACGGUCUGGAAAGUCCGACGGUACAGGGUGAUAGUCCCGUACACCAAAAUGCACAGGUUGUGAACUCGAAGAGUAGGGCGGGACACGUGGUAUCCUGUCUGAAUAUGGGGGGACCAUCCUCCAAGGCUAAAUACUCCUGACUGACCGAUAGUGAACCAGUACCGUGAGGGAAAGGCGAAAAGAACCCCGGCGAGGGGAGUGAAAAAGAACCUGAAACCGUGUACGUACAAGCAGUGGGAGCACCUUCGGGUGUGACUGCGUACCUUUUGUAUAAUGGGUCAGCGACUUAUAUUCUGUAGCAAGGUUAACCGUAUAGGGGAGCCGCAGGGAAACCGAGUCUUAACUGGGCGUUAAGUUGCAGGGUAUAGACCCGAAACCCGGUGAUCUAGCCAUGGGCAGGUUGAAGGUUGGGUAACACUAACUGGAGGACCGAACCGACUAAUGUUGAAAAAUUAGCGGAUGACUUGUGGCUGGGGGUGAAAGGCCAAUCAAACCGGGAGAUAGCUGGUUCUCCCCGAAAGCUAUUUAGGUAGCGCCUCGUGAACUCAUCUUCGGGGGUAGAGCACUGUUUCGGCUAGGGGGUCAUCCCGACUUACCAACCCGAUGCAAACUACGAAUACCGAAGAAUGUUAUCACGGGAGACACACGGCGGGUGCUAACGUCCGUCGUGAAGAGGGAAACAACCCAGACCGCCAGCUAAGGUCCCAAAGUCAUGGUUAAGUGGGAAACGAUGUGGGAAGGCACAGACAGCCAGGAUGUUGGCUUAGAAGCAGCCAUCAUUUAAAGAAAGCGUAAUAGCUCACUGGUCGAGUCGGCCUGCGCGGAAGAUGUAACGGGGCUAAACCAUGCACCGAAGCUGCGGCAGCGACACUAUGUGUUGUUGGGUAGGGGAGCGUUCUGUAAGCCUGCGAAGGUGACCUGUGAGGGUUGCUGGAGGUAUCAGAAGUGCGAAUGCUGACAUAAGUAACGAUAAAGCGGGUGAAAAGCCCGCUCGCCGGAAGACCAAGGGUUCCUGUCCAACGUUAAUCGGGGCAGGGUGAGUCGACCCCUAAGGCGAGGCCGAAAGGCGUAGUCGAUGGGAAACAGGUUAAUAUUCCUGUACUUGGUGUUACUGCGAAGGGGGGACGGAGAAGGCUAUGUUAGCCGGGCGACGGUUGUCCCGGUUUAAGCAUGUAGGCUGAUUGUCCAGGCAAAUCCGGAUAAUCAAGGCUGAGGUGUGAUGACGAGGCACUACGGUGCUGAAGUAACAAAUGCCCUGCUUCCAGGAAAAGCCUCUAAGCAUCAGGUAACAUCAAAUCGUACCCCAAACCGACACAGGUGGUCAGGUAGAGAAUACCAAGGCGCUUGAGAGAACUCGGGUGAAGGAACUAGGCAAAAUGGUGCCGUAACUUCGGGAGAAGGCACGCUGGUGUGUAGGUGAAGCCCCUGCGGGUGGAGCUGAGACCAGUCGAAGAUACCAGCUGGCUGCAACUGUUUAUUAAAAACACAGCACUGUGCAAACACGAAAGUGGACGUAUACGGUGUGACGCCUGCCCGGUGCCGGAAGGUUAAUUGAUGGGGUUAUCCGUAAGGAGAAGCUCUUGAUCGAAGCCCCGGUAAACGGCGGCCGUAACUAUAACGGUCCUAAGGUAGCGAAAUUCCUUGUCGGGUAAGUUCCGACCUGCACGAAUGGCGUAAUGAUGGCCAGGCUGUCUCCACCCGAGACUCAGUGAAAUUGAACUCGCUGUGAAGAUGCAGUGUACCCGCGGCAAGACGGAAAGACCCCGUGAACCUUUACUAUAGCUUGACACUGAACAUUGAGCCUUGAUGUGUAGGAUAGGUGGGAGGCUUUGAAGCGUGGACGCCAGUCUGCGUGGAGCCAACCUUGAAAUACCACCCUUUAAUGUUUGAUGUUCUAACGUUGGCCCCUUACCGGGGUUGCGGACAGUGUCUGGUGGGUAGUUUGACUGGGGCGGUCUCCUCCCAAAGCGUAACGGAGGAGCACGAAGGUUAGCUAAUCCUGGUCGGACAUCAGGAGGUUAGUGCAAUGGCAUAAGCUAGCUUGACUGCGAGCGUGACGGCGCGAGCAGGUGCGAAAGCAGGUCAUAGUGAUCCGGUGGUUCUGAAUGGAAGGGCCAUCGCUCAACGGAUAAAAGGUACUCCGGGGAUAACAGGCUGAUACCGCCCAAGAGUUCAUAUCGACGGCGGUGUUUGGCACCUCGAUGUCGGCUCAUCACAUCCUGGGGCUGAAGUAGGUCCCAAGGGUAUGGCUGUUCGCCAUUUAAAGUGGUACGCGAGCUGGGUUUAGAACGUCGUGAGACAGUUCGGUCCCUAUCUGCCGUGGGCGCUGGAGAAUUGAGGGGGGCUGCUCCUAGUACGAGAGGACCGGAGUGGACGCAUCACUGGUGUUCGGGUUGUCAUGCCAAUGGCACUGCCCGGUAGCUAAAUGCGGAAGAGAUAAGUGCUGAAAGCAUCUAAGCACGAAACUUGCCCCGAGAUGAGUUCUCCCUGAGACUUUAAGUCUCCUGAAGGAACGUUGAAGACGACGACGUUGAUAGGCCGGGUGUGUAAGCGCAGCGAUGCGUUGAGCUAACCGGUACUAAUGAACCGUGAGGCUUAACCUU